GAGAUUGAUAUCUUCUACAGGUAAUUUGAGAAGAUAGAAGAGAGAUAGAAAGUCUCCAGCACUCAUAUCCAUAUCAAAAACAAGAUUUUUCCCGAAAUUCUUUCCCCUCAGAUCCGGUUUGUAAUAUACUUCUCUGUAAUAAGGAAACUCUGUUGUGAAAUUGAACCUUCCAGUGUGUUCUGCUUGGUUUAAGACAUCCAGAAAGCUAACAGAAAACUCUCUGUCUAAUAUGCUGCUAGCAUUUCGAUUAGGUUUUGCUCGAACAGCAACAAGAACAGGCACUCCUCCAGGCUUCUUAACUUCUUUUGUAUAACCAUCCUGGCAUCUGCCCCUUCCACUCUUGACUAUGCAAAAAGGAUCACGAAG
rnacentral:misc_RNA from 1 species